rnacentral:rRNA from 1 species
AACGCGAAGAACCUUACCUAGAAAAAGACAUGUUGGUGAAAAGUGUGGAAACACACUCCUCCUUCGGGACACCAUCACAGGUGGUGCAUGGCUGUCGUCAGCUCGUGUCGUGAGAUGUUGGGUUAAGUCCCGCAACGAGCGCAACCCCCGUUCCAUGUUGCCAGCAUUAAGUUGGGGACUCAUGGGAGACUGCCGGUGUCAACUCGGAGGAAGGUGGGGACGACGUCAAGUCAUCAUGCCCCUUAUGUCCAGGGCUACACACGUGCUACAAUGGGCCGUACAAAGGGUUGCGGGAGCGCAAGCUGGAGCCAAUCCCUAAAAGCGGUCCUCAGUUCGGAUUGCAGACUGCAACUCGCCUGCAUGAAGUCGGAAUCGCUAGUAAUCGUGAAUCAGAAUGUCUCGGUGAAUACGUUCCCGGGCCUUGUACACACC